UGAACUUGAUGCUGCAAAGCAAGAACUCCGGAAGAUUCGACAGGGAUGUGAUGCAUCCUUGGAAGCAAAACUUGCUGCCUUAAAUCAAGCUGCAGAAGCAGAACAUGCAGUCAAAGCAAAUGUGGAAAAAGUUAGUGAGCUUUCUAGGGAAAUCUCAGCUCUACAGGAAUCAAUUGGGCAAGUGAAGCUAGCAUCUCUGCAAGCCCAGCAAGAGCAAGCAAAAA
rnacentral:misc_RNA from 1 species